AGUUUAGACAAGGGUGUGCCUCCAAGGGGGCUGUGCUGCUGGGAUCCAGAGAACAGUCCCCAAGGGCUGUGGGCUGUCCUGCCUCAGGGGAUUGGCCUGGCUGUGCUCUCCAACCUGUCUGGUUAAGUGACCUUUUCUCUUUCUCCUAAGUGCAGUCUUCACCCACACGACGGAGGUCUGCUCACCAUCUGCAGAAGACAGAGAUAUUCUCUCUCUCUCCCCUCCUUCUCCCUCUUCAAGAUAGGGUCUCUCUGUGUAGCCUUGGCUGUCCUGGAACUCAUUCUGUAGACCAGGCUGGAUUUAAACUCUGAGAUCCCUGUCUCUGCCUCCUGAGGGCUAAGAUUAAAGGCGAGGGUGCCAUGCCCUGAAGAGAGGUUUUCUUCUUAACGGCUGUUUGUAUUGGGUCUCUAUCUCUACAAUAAAAAAUCUCACCAAAAAAAAAAAAAAAAAAAAAACAACUGGAGAGAAAAAGGUUUAUAUGGUUGACUGGCUCCAGGCCAUCACUGAGGGAAGUCAGGGCAGGAAGUUAAAGCUUGAACCUGGAGUCAGAACUGAGGCAGAAGCCAUAGAGGGAUGCUGCUUUCUGGCUUGCUCCCUGUGGCUUGCUCCGUUUGCUUGCAUAUACAACCCAGGCCCACCUGCCACAGUGGGCUGGGCCCUCCCACAUUAGUUGUCAAUCAAGAAGAUGCCCAAAGCGUGGUCUACAGGCCAAUCUGAUGGAGGCAAUUCUCACUUGACUUCUUCCUAGAUGACUCUCUAUUGCAUCUAGUUGGCAAAAACCUAACCAGCAGAGAGGCAUGGCCCUACUAGUCAGAGCUGAGUCACUGGCCCCCUUCAGCUGCUGUGGAAAACUUUGUCUGGCGGUCCAAGGGUUGUUAUCAAUGUUUGAGCCAAGGCAUGGUGGUUUUCUGUAAAUGCAAAGUAUAAGCGUGCGCCAGACACGUACACUGAAGUCUUCCCUGUCGUCAUUACAAUUAAACUUGUAUG
rnacentral:lncRNA from 1 species